UGCCUCGUUGGGCGAUACGCCAUAUUGGCGCGGCGAUUGUGAAAUAGAAGACUGAUAUCUCUUAGUGAACCGACUAUUUUCGAAACUGCAACAACAUGAGGAAUGUUAAAACUAGAAAACAGGGAAUCACAUUUCACAGGUACCAGUGCAAACAGUCUGGAUUUUCAGCUGUGCCUCCUGGAAGGCCUGAACAGAUGGAACCAGCAUCCCUGUCAGUGAAGACUGCCUCACUUGUGAGCCACUCAGGUGACCUUGUGCAGUCUGUAAACACCUAAAGGUUUUUGAGAGGAAGCUGGUGCCCAGUUUUCAGCCCCCUGCAUAAUAUAGUGCACUAGGAGAAUGGAGAAAGCAGUGGAUUGGACAGAUGACAAGUACUGGGCAGCCUGGGAUAAGUGGGAUGAGGUGAUAGAUUGGGGAGAUGAAAAGUCUUCACCCACAACACCUCCCUCUAUCCAGGCUGGCACCAGCACUGGAGACGUGGAUGUUGGGGUGGAUCAUCACCAGCAGCCAGUAUUCAAACGCCAGCAAAAGAAACUGGUUUUGAGGAUGAGACUCCAUCUGUGUGUCCAGCCUCAGCCUCAACAAGCGGCGCAGAAAGUAAAUGACAGGGAGGAAGAAGCCGCAGUUCUGUCUAACAUGUCAUCUUGGAGGGAACCUGUUACUCAGGAACACAGGGAGUCAAAAAGGCAUAAGGACCCAUUCUCCGUGCCUGGAUAUGAGACCCACCACUGGCCCAGAGAAAAAUACUGGUCGCGACAGCCAGCAAAGACAGUCAUUGAUGAAAAUAUCAUCCUGGGCUUCUGCAAU